rnacentral:snoRNA from 1 species
GCAUGGACGAAUUCUGUAUUACUUUGCUAUAGUAAAUGCAGUCAGACACCAUGCUAAAGUAUACUUCAUGCUAACCUUUAGUCAGAUCGAUGGCGUGUGUCUUUGGUCUUGUGUUAGUGCGAAUACAAAG